rnacentral:rRNA from 1 species
GGUGCUGCAUGGUUGUCGUCAGCUCGUGCCGUGAGGUGUCGGGUUAAGUCCCAUAACGAGCGCAACCCUUAUCGUUAGUUGCCAUCUGGUAAAGCAGGGGACUCUAGCGAAACUGCCACCGUAAGGUGAGAGGAAGGUGGGGAUGACGUCAAAUCAGCACGGCCCUUAUGUCCAGGGCUACACACGUGUUACAAUGGUCGGUACAGAGGGCAGCUACCUGGUGACAGGAUGCUAAUCUCGAAAACCGGCCUCAGUUCGGAUCGAAGUCUGCAACUCGACUUCGUGAAGCUGGAUUCGCUAGUAAUCGCGCAUCAGCCAUGGCGCGGUGAAUACGUUCCCGGGCCUU